UGCCGCGACCCGCGACUUAGAUUCAUGAUCCAUCCGUCUCUCUCGUCCUCGUGCCAUGGUGAUCGUGCCUCAUGCCGCUUGUGCGUAUAUUUCAUAGCAAUAUUAAUUAUCUAGCAAGUAAAUGCGUAAGAUUUGUGCAGGAUUAUUUUGUAUCUACGUUUUAUUGAAUGUGGUUGAAGCAUAUUUUUAAUAAUAUAUAUACAUUUCUACAAAUUGCUACUAUAUUAUUAACCUCAAAAUAAUUGCAUGCACAUUAUGAUUCUUUAUUCUAAUUAUUAAUUAUUACAUUAAACCAUCAUAGAGAUAUAUCUCUAUGCAUUAAACACGUCAGAACAUAAUUAACAUUAAUUCCAUAAAACUUUUUGUUAAUAACCUUUUAAUAAAUAUUGACCGACGGCUAUAACCUUUUGAAUGUUAUAAAAUACUCAUGGACAUAAAAUCUUAAUUAGUAUUAUAUUAUAUAAAAGUCACUCGUAGUGGCUUUGUUUAAAUAAUAAUAUAUGCAAUUAUGACUUAUUGAAUUUCACAUUCCUUAAUGUUGAAAUAAGUAAUAAAGUAAUUUGUAAUUAACUAUUAUUAUUAAAAAUCUCAAAUUUUCUUUUAUAUUAUUCUGUAUAUCUGUACAUUUGUAUAUUUGUUCUGUGAUCAAUAUAAAAGUAUAAGGAUGGUGUAAAAUUAACAAUUGGCUACAAAUGUUUUAUGUCGUUCAUGUUGAUGAUUGGUUUCAAACGAUCCCAGAUAACUGGGUAAAUAAAAUUAAUAAAACUAUCCAUUGGCUUACUGAAAAGAAUGCCAUGCUUACAAUGUGGAUAAAAAAAAAGGUACCAUACAAAUCGGAUUGGAAGAUACACAAUUACGUUUGUUUGUUUGGACCAUUCGAAAGCUAUCAAGAUUCCAAAAAUUUCGAGCAGCAAUGUACAGGAUACUCUUCUCAGGACGAAAUAUUCUAGGAACAAUACACAAGUCAUAAUAAGUCGUCGCUGCCCCAAAAACGAAAGCGAAAAAAAAUCCAAAAUACGACGAAACUAGUAGUUGCAAUAGUAUUGAGGAAUCUUCAGAAUCCGAAGAUAAUAAUCCACCAAAGACUAAUAAACACACUAACAUAUCGAAAGACAUCGGUAUCUUGCACUAAGUCCAAAUUAGAUACAUUGCCAUUGACAUCGCAUUUUGUAUAUAUUGAUGCCAAUUUGUUCGAAAGAGAAACAGAAUUGUCUCAAUCAAUAUUAAUUCCACUUUAAGACGACUUUAUAGAUGAAAGAAAUGUUGCAUCAUUUGACAUGGAUGAUGAAAAUAAUAUAAACGGUGCUAGGGAGUAUGUAAGACGAAUAAUAAAGAGGCUAAUGACAGAUAAUUUAGCCCUGAAAUAUUCCUGGAGCGGACAAAAAAACACCAUUUGAUUCAAAGAUUUUCUUACUUCAAAACUUAUUCUGGAAUCUGUGGCGUCUGUGCAUACAUCAGCAAAUCUUAAAACGAUGGAAGAUGCAAUACAAUCGUGGUUAAACCAUGCAUCGGAUCGAAAAAAGAAAGCAGAGAAAAAAGAGGAUCAACAUGCACGACUUGUAAUAAGAAUGUAAACAAUUAAUAAGCCAUCUGCAACUGUAUUAGAAACUGUGAUUUAUUAAUUAAACUGUUAUUUAUUAAAAUUUAAAUAAAGUAUUAAAAUAUAUGUAUGUAUAUAAGUACAUAAAGAAUAAAACGUUUAA